AACGAACGCUGGCGGCAGGCCUAACACAUGCAAGUCGAGCGAGGACUUCGGUCCUAGCGGCGGACGGGUGAGUAACGCGUGGGAACGUGCCCUUUGCUUCGGAAUAGCCCUGGGAAACUGGGAGUAAUACCGGAUGAGCCCUUUGGGGGAAAGAUUUAUCGGCGAAGGAUCGGCCCGCGUUGGAUUAGGUAGUUGGUGGGGUAAUGGCCUACCAAGCCGACCAUCCAUAGCUGGUUUGAGAGGAUGAUCAGCCACACUGGGACUGAGACACGGCCCAGACUCCUACGGGAGGCAGCAGUGGGGAAUCUUAGAAAAUGGGGGAAACCCUGAUCUAGCCAUGCCGCGUGAGCGAUGAAGGCCUUAGGGUUGUAAAGCUCUUUCAGCUGGGAAGAUAAUGACGGUACCAGCAGAAGAAGCCCCGGCUAACUCCGUG
rnacentral:rRNA from 1 species